GGUGGGAGAAAGAACAUUAGAUAAUAGAGAAGCCGAUCAUAAUUGGCUGCACAUAUAAAGGUCAGCCUAUAGAAUGACCAUUUGCCCAAAAGUGUGUGCCCAAAAUAUUUGAAUCUGUGAAUUCAAAUAAGCAUAUUUUAUGCUUUUUCAGUUGAAUGCCAUUUCUGACUGGCAGUUCAUAUUUCCACAAUUAACUUCCAAAGUUAAGAAAUAUAAUUUGAAUCAAGGCAAAAAAAAAAAAAAAGGAUGUCUUCAUAAUCCAUCCCUUAUUUAAUCUUACAGUUGCGUAGUCACUGACCUAUGUGUUCCAGCUGGAGAAAAAGAAAACAUCCAGAAUCAUCUAUAGACUUGGUCCUUUUUGUCUGGAGGAUCAUGUGAUUUGCAGACAGUGAACCCAAGGCCUCAUAGCCCUGAUGCUGCACUUUGCUCUUUUACAAGAGUUGCUGCUUUCCCAACACCCCCACCUGCCAGGAGGAGAGGAAGCCAGAGAGUGACGUGGACCUGUGACUGGUGGGAUUUAGUAGAAGCAUAUGAUGUAGUACUAAGGAGAGCAAUGAAUCAGAACAGGGAGAAGUCUGGCCUCUUCCAGUCCAUUCCCAGACCUGCCUCAUCUUCUACCCUAGAAUGAUUGACAAUAGAAACAUCCAAUUCCUUCAACCUCAUCCACCAGGUACUCUUUAGCCUUAGGCAAGGUGAUAGUAACAAUUUAAAUGGCAUACCUCAAAGUCUGGGUUAUUCAAUUUAAAAAACCCAUGGGUGGGUUGCCAACAGUUAAGGCAAGGUACAGCUGUUCCAAGGCUGUUCUAGGUCUUCACUGAAGCAUGAUGUUAAGAGAAGGUAAGACCUGGCUCCUGAUAUAGACUAUUCUAAACCAAUCUGUGAGCAAAUCCUUGUAUAAAAGACAUUCAUAUAUCCCAAGGGAAGGAGGCAAUUUUCAGGUACAAGGCUAAAUCCAUAUUUAGGAAAAAAAAUAUUAUCUGCCUCUGUCUCUGCAAAGGUGUAUUUAUGCUAAACAAAGCAAAAUGUACCUUGACCAAUGGCACAUUUAACAUGUUUAUCUGAAGUAUUAGCUUUCAGAUUAAUGGGGACUUAACAUUUUUGUCUAAGAACAAUAGGUGGUUAUUAUGUUUAUAAAAGUAUUCUGGUGUUUUUCCUAAAGUAAAAGAAUCUGCUCCAAAGGUGAAUUAAUGUUUCCAUUAAUACAUUUGAGAUGAUGUUUUUCAGUUAAUUAAAAAAAAAAAAACUUGAUUUCAUUUAAUAGAGAUGAGGAAGGCCCCUAUCCAGACUAGGGGCAGGAGGGAGUGAGGAUGGAGAAGCUGUGCAGGAUAGGGAAUGACUGCAGAGAGUGCUGAAGGUUGGGUUAGGAGCCAAGUGAGCUGGAGCAGAGAGGUCAGGAGAGAGUGAUCCAGACAUGAGACAGCUUUUGUGAAAUCUUAGAGACCAGAGAGAAGGAUGGUGCCUUCAAGAGGAGAUGAUAUGUUGGUUGCAAGAUCAUGGAGGGGGUGACAUUUUGGUUGAACAAUAGUGACAUUCACACUUAUUUAUGACUCCAAAAAAACUUCAAACCAUUAAACUUUGAUUAUGAAAAUCACUAGGCAAUUUGUAAAACAGACCCUCUCACCUCCUCUCUUAUUCUAGAGAUGGAGGGGGCACCAGGGAGAGAUGGUUAGGUUGAAAGUACAAUGAAUUGUUGUAGACUGUAUCAAAGACAACAUAGUUUGUAGACUAUGUCAAAAUGGACAUAAAACAUCUUAUUUCCUGAGGCUUUAUCACAAAAGCUUCUCUACCUAAUACCAUGCCUGUGGAAUUCUAUAUCUAUUUGAUGAAUAAAUGAUUAUGGGAAAAUUAUGAAGGAUUUUAA
rnacentral:lncRNA from 1 species